AUGGGGGUGGGUGAGCUGCCCCCCAGGUGCUGGGGCCUGGUGGGGCUCCUCCUCCUGCAGGAAGGGGUUUGGCCAGGUCCAGAGCUCUGCAUGAGGAGCUGGGGCCACAGAGGAGGAGGAUUAUGUUCGUUCUUGCUAUCCCAGGCUGUGCUGAGGAGCUAUAUCGGCUGGGCCAGGCUGCCGUGCUGGCACGCCGAUGCUCCUGGCUGUGCUGGAGUGCUGCAUCUCCACGAGGAGAAGACAUCUCCAAGUAAAUUUGACCUGACAAAAGAGAAGGAGAAAAUUCAGCCUCCUCCCACGGCACGGUGGCCUCUGAACUCCGCAGCGAGCGAGGCUGGGCUCGGCGGCUCCUUACCUGCUGCCCUCAGUCGUGAACGCGGGGAAACGCUCUGCUGUGGUGCUGCAGCAUCGCGGGCUGCGCCGGGGUGUGCUGCUGGAUGUGCACGAGAAAAGUCCCUGAUCCUGUAAUCAUGUCCCCAUGGGAAGACUUAGUGAUGGAGCGGGAGGAACGGAGGGGCUGCUGGCACAGAUUAAAUCACCAGGUGGGAUACGUGCUGCCAUGCUGCUGGAGUCAGGAAGGAAGAACAGGGAUGGUUUCUGCAGGAAGAAACUCCCUUGCUUUAUUUGAGGCUGUCGGAUUGAGCCUUGGGUCUGAGAACUCCCAGGAAGGAUUUUUGUCCUAGCGCCAAACAGGAUGAGUUAUUUGGGAAGGGAGCAAGGAGCUGGAAAAGCAGGAAAGCACACAAGGAGCUGGCUGGGAUUCAUAGCAGAGGGGAUCCCCUACGCUUACCUCUGGCAGGUUGUUGCUGGGAUCCCGGCUGCAGCACGGGGCACGCAGGCUGCCUCUUGGCUAAAAUGCAUUUUUGGCUGUUAGGCAGGCCCAGCGGUGCUGCCAGCCCUCUCGACCCACCGUGCAGGCAGGAUCCUCGCUAACUGAACCGUAAUCAAUAAGACGGUGAUGGGUUGCUGGUGGGAGAGAAUCCCUUCCUGCUGCCGCAGGGACGGGCUGCCCUGAUAUCUGAGGGUUGCGUGGCCUCGGCUGGGCAUCUUGGCCAUGCUGUUUUGGGGUUCCCCGGCUGCCCAGCAUGGCUGGGUCCCCUGGUCAUUUAGGGGAUAUGGUGCCCUUUAAAUUACAUCCUUAUGGGCCCCAAUGACCUCUUUGCUCCCAACCCCGUGGGUUUGGUGCAGAUGUGCAACCAUAUCCCUAAAGAAAACGCAGAAGACCUGAGCCUUAGGGAUGGAUGCCUGGGUGGUGGGAUGGAUGCCUGGCAUCCAGCAAGCUCCCCACAGGGCUGGUUUCCCUGGUUUUCCCAGGAAGGGGCUGCCGUGUCUUUUCCUGCCCCUUAUGCUUUGCGCUCACCCUGUUGCUCAUGCCCUCCCUGCUUGCUAGGGGCUGUUCCCAGCACCCUGGUGCUGCUUUUUCCAUCCUUGCCCAGCCAUCGAGCAAUGAUCAGGAAAAAUCAAGCAUCUUGCCUGUGUUACUAUUUCGUGAAAGGUGUUAAUUCUGUCCGGCUGCCUUUCUGCCCUGCCUCUGCAUAUUCCUGAGCUUGUCCACGAGCAGGAGCAUGCCUUGCCUGGGUCACCCUGGCUCCCUCCAGGUCUCCUCUGCUGGUUACCAGGAGCUUUGAGCACCACUGGGGAGAUGCAGUAGGUUUCCUCCAAAACUCUUACCAUUUUUUUCCACGAGCGUUUGUUGCCCCAGAGGAAAUCUGCAAGCCCACCUGGCUCUUCCUUGCCCAGAUGCACCCGGGUGACCCCACAGGGCUCCCCGAGCUUCUGCAAUUAGUUUCCCAAAUGGAAAUCUAAAGAUCUUGAAGUAGCCAGCUGAGCUCCUGGUUUGUCAUGGCCAGGACAUCUGAGUGAAGUAUCUCGCUGUGUCCGUGUCCUCUGAUUUGCUGCCUGGCACCUGCCAGAGCAUCGCCUGCUGGAUAGAGCCGGAGAUCUCAACUGGAAAAUGUCAGCGAGCCUUCAGUGGAUUAAGCCCAGGAGUUCUGGCAUCAGUCCUGGCACCUUUUUAUCUUGCUCCUCCAUGAAGCUGUGAUCCCUGGAAUGACCAUGCCUGAAGCAAAAGAAGCAAUCAAAUGCAGCAAGGAGAAGAGCUCCUACAACAGAGCAAAGCCCACUGCCAGAUGCGGGCAGGCUUCCUCAGCCCUUUCGUUUAGCCAUUUCAUUGCCUCUUUCUCUGAUUUUCCCAUGCUUUGAGGGUCUGAGAUAGGGCCUCGACAAUUGCUCAUGUGUCCCAGGAGUCUGGAAAGGGCUCUGAGGGGCUGGGUGCUGUGGUGGGGUUUCUGCUUUCCAGCCAGAGGUGCUGCAGGAUCUCUAGGAGGGGAUUUCAAGCUGGGAGCCAGCAUUGCUGCGUGCAUCUCUCCCAGCUUUCUUCACUUCAUCACCCUUUCUAGAGCCACGCGAUAGCCGAGCACAAACUUAGGGCUUUCAUGGGCUUUCACACCCUAAGAUAGCCCCAGGAGGCUGCCAGCCCUGUUACCAUCACUGAUUUAAUCCUGGCCUUUGUGUUACAGUCUGAAAAUCCUUGCGGCCAUGAGGGCACAUCACACUGGGGAUCCUGAGAAGCAUAUUCAGGCCUUGCUCUGAAGUUUGCCUGUGGCCAUCACAGCCGCAGAGGUGUGCCUGGCUGCUCGGGCACUGGGAGAGGUCUUGCUGCAUCACUCGAGCCUGUGCCACCAACAGCAGGAGCUGACGUGCCCCAGGGCUUUGGGGAGCACACUGAUGUACCUCGGGGUGGCCGGGAGGGUCGCUGCUGUCAGCUGAGCGUGUGCUGAGCCGUGGUGCGGAGCUGCAUGGAGAGCUCUUGCAGGAGCUGAGCUGCUAGAAACUGUAAAGCGUGGAAGGAAACAGCAGCGAGCAGCAGGUUGGGGUUGUACGCUGGGCUUCGGUGCGUGGUGGGGCAGAAGCUGCUUGUGCUGUGCCCCAGAGCAGGAGCCCUGGGACGGGUGGAGGUGUGCGGACAAGAACCCACCUCCAGCAGGGCAAUCUGCCCCUGCUCGUGUGCUGUGCUUAAUCAGGGUGACCUCCAAACCUCACCUCUUCCAGGCGAUGGGGAUAUACCCUCAGAAAAUGACACUCACAUCUCUCAAGCACUGCAGUUGGAUUGGGAGGUAGAUUUGGUGCUCCCCAGUCUGGAGGAACACGUCUCAUCAACACGGGAUCCUGUUCCCCUUGGGCGACCCCAAAAGGCACAGAGGAACCCCUGAUUUCCAGUCUCUGUCGCCCUAUUCGCUGCCUUGUCCACCCAAAUCCGAGCUGGCACUGUGAAAAAUACCCUGAUUAUAUUCCUUUCCCCUGCCUUGCCCCUUUGGAGCCAGCCCGCUCGUUGAAUUAGUGGAUGCACCGCGGCUGAUCAUUAAUCUUCGGCAGCUCUUGAGCGCUGCUGGUAAAUCUCCUCUCCGCGGAGGGCUCUGACCUCGCUCGGGGCUCGAGAGGAGCUGGCUCUGGAGAGGGUCCCCGGGGUGUCACCAGCUGGUGGCGGCUGGUGGCUGGCGGGGAGGGCGAGCGCCGGGCUCGCUGCGUCUCUCCUCCUGCCUGGAGCUUGCCAGCUCGCAUGGCGCAGGAGGAAACGGGUAAGUCAUAAAUCAAUCUCGAGUGUUUCUCUUCUCUUUAGGGGAAAAAUAAUAACCCCAAACAAAACAAGCUUGCAGUCGGGAGAAAGGAAUUCCUAAUGACAAACUUACUUCAGCUAGGACACCAGGGGCUUCAGCAAUAUGAGAUUAAACCUGCUGUGCUGAGACUCUAUUACUCCAUAUAUUACUGUGUGCUGCUGGACUGAUGGUUCUCACAGGCGGAAAUAUAACCCUUUGAAAUGUCAAGGCACAUAAUAAAGAGACCUAGCAGGGGAGGCUGGAUGGCUCC
rnacentral:lncRNA from 1 species